rnacentral:tRNA from 1 species
CAAUAGAUAGUUUAAUGAGGGAAAAUAUAAUAUUUGGGGUAUUAAGUAAUUUUCUAUUGAUAUCGA